UAAAGAGUUCUAAAACUCCCAAACCCAUGUGAACAUACCUAACGUUGCCUCGGCAGGUCGCACCUACCUUGUAGCACCCUACCCUGUAGGGCCUACCCGGGAGGUGCGGGUAAGCCUGCCGGCGGCCCACCAAACUCUGUUUUAUAUUGAAUUCUGAACAUAUAACUAAAUAAGUUAAAACUUUCAACAACGGAUCUCUUGGUUCUGGCAUCGAUGAAGAACGCAGCGAAAUGCGAUAAGUAAUGUGAAUUGCAGAAUUCAGUGAAUCAUCGAAUCUUUGAACGCAUAUUGCGCCCAUUAGUAUUCUAGUGGGCAGGACCGUUCGAGCGUCAUUUCGACCCUUAAGCCUUAGUUGCUUAGUGUUGGGAGCCUACGGAAACGUAGCUCCUCAAAGUUAGUGGCGGAGUUGGUUCACACUCUAGACGUAGUAAUUUUUUAUCUCGCCUAUUAGUUGGACUGAUCCCCUGCCGUAAAACCCCCAACUUAUCAAGGUUGACCUCGAAUCGGUUCAGACAAACUCGCUAAAUUGAAGCAUCUUAGUCAGCGAAGGAAAAGAAACCAACAGGGAUUGCCCUAGUAACGGCGAGUGAAGCGGCAACAGCUCAAAUUUGAAAUCUGGCCCUCGGGUCCGAGUUGUAA
rnacentral:rRNA from 1 species